GGUCUCGCCUCUCCAGCGAGAAAACUUGUCGCGAGUGCCCGUGUCGGGAGCCAUUUGUUUUUUUUCUCGACACGACUAAUUCUUCAAACUUGCAUCAGUUUUGAAUAGCGAUUUUGUGAUAAA
ensembl:ncRNA F26A10.5 ncRNA